GCCCCGCCCAACCUUCCCCACCCCCAAGCACCACCCAACUCCACCGCACCCCCCACUCCGUCUCUUAGAGCUUCUGCGUUCUUUCGCCCGCCGCCUUUUCUUAAAUUUGUUUGGUGAGAGUCUCUCUUUGUGUUCCCAUUUCUCCGUCUUCUGUCCUCCACUUUCCACUCUCCCCUGCUUAGUCCCUUCCACUCACCUUCCAAAUAUCCAGUGCCCGCCCUUCGCUGCCCCUCACUUCUUGGCUAGCGCUCAGACACGUGUUUUCUCCACUCUCUCUUCUUCGUCACUUUCCUACAAUCUACUCAUGCCUCCUAUUCCCAAGACCAACUACGGCUAAAACCCGCAGCCCCUACCAGGACGAAAAUAAACGUCUGGGAAACACUGUUUCUUUGCUGCUAGCAUUGGAAAAAAAUUUAGAGCUGGAAGGAACCUCAGAGUUCAUCUAGCCCCGUCAUUUUAUUGGAGAUCCAAGAAAUUGGAGCCAGACAUCAAAUGGCAAGACAACUAAGUGGCACAGUGGAUAUAGCAUUGACUCUGGUGUCAGGAAGACCUAAGAUCAAAUCUAGCCUUAGACACUUUCUUCAUGUUCCUGGAUUUGGAGAGGAAGAAUUCUGCAAACAAGUUGAGAAGAGAAGGAAUAAUCUGAAGUUGUGGUAAGUAUAUUGCAUGCAACAGUAAUGUAACAGUAACACAACACUAACACAACAGUAACACUGACAUAACACUGACAAACAACAUAACAUAGCAUGGAUAACAACAUAACAAACAUAUAUACUGUUAAAUUUAUUUGUGGCUGGACUCUGAAUAUAUAAUAGGUGGCCACCAGGGAUUUAAAUUUCUAAAUCCCAAAUGAAUUACUAAAAUGAAUUUAUGAUAGUUUAUUUUUAAUAGAGGGAAAAUAUUAAGGAAUGAGAGAGAGAGAGAAAACUCAGGCUUCCUCUGAGCCAGUUAGAAAUUUCUAAGCCCCAGCCAAGGGAAGAGAGUCUCAAGAUGAUGAGCCUUUCCUGGAGACUUCAUGCCUCCAGAAAGGUGGAGUCACUAAGUCAGCCUUUCACUCACCAACAAUGACCAUCUAAAUGAAAAGAAGUCUGAGUGUCUGUCUUCUGGUCACUCCUCAAGUGUCUGUGUCCAGUCUCUCCUCUGAGUCAGAGAUCCUUCAUCCAACUUGAAACUCAAAUUGAAUAUAUGUCCUCUUCUGGCCUUUCAUCCUCUUUUUAAAGAAUCUUUUUCUCUUGUGUCACCUCCCCUAAAUUUCACAUCUACCAAUCACAGCAGAUGCUUUUCUCCAGGACUGCCUACUCUUUAGUUCUCACCUUCUUUGGGUAGAUUAUAUCUUUUGGGGUUAUUUAACACCUUUUUUUUUUUGGUAAAUUCACCUUUUGUAGUUACUUAACACCUUUUUGUGGUUAAAAUGGGUAGAUGUACUUAAAAUACUGAGCUAUCACCUUUUUGCGGAUUAAAAUCUAAAAAUAGAUUGUGGGUUAUAAUUCUAGCUUCACUAUAAAGGAAGAGCUAAGUAUCUUCAUUAUUACAAUCAGGAGAUCGCUAAAUCCAAUCUUCACAAUACACAAAAACUUAAACAUGGUUAGGUUACAUUGAAUCACUAGUUGAAUGAGUGAAACAAUGUAUAGUUUAUACAUAGUUUAUAGAUAUCAACAAUGUUAUAUUUAGUUAUAAAGUAGUUACUAACAAAGAAUAGUUAGUUACUUAGUAUAAGAUUUAGUAUAGGAAUGUAGGUAGGUGAGAGUAGUUUUAGGAGAUUUUAGGAAAUAAGGCUAUAAAUUAGUUAGAUUAGAGUUUAAGAUUGAUAAAAUAAGGUAAGAUAAUGAACUGCACUACAAAAUACAUUGCAACAUACAUAACAAACAGCAUACAUGGCAUAUAACACAAAAUUGUAAAUAUAUAUAUAAAUAGUAUGUAUAAUAGUUAGGAUUGUAAACUUAAUUGUAUUAUACUGUAUGUAUGUGUAUAUUUGUAACAUGUGUAAAUAUGAAGUAUAUACAUGUAGUAUGUGUAUAUAUGUAAAAUUAUGUAAAUAGAUCACAUGUUUAAUUUUAUCUAUUGUUAUAUGUAUUUUAUGUAAGUGAGUUUGAUGGUUUAGUUUAAUUUUUUGGGAAACUUAUGCAAUGGUGUGUUUAUUGUAUUUUUCAAAAAUUUGUCUCUAAGUUUGCUGUUCAUGCAUUGCAAUAGUAGAAUUUUCUGUAUUAGUUGAUAAGAGUAGCAUUUUAUGAUUUUAAUGUUUUUCAUGAAAGUUGUGUUUAUCUUUGAUUUUGCUCUUAUUUGCUUGUUGUGCUUUUGCAUAUGUUUGAUCUGUAUUUUGAGCUUUGUAAUUGUUCAUUGUAUAAUUUCCCCUUUUUCCUUUCCUUGAUUAAAUCCCUAGAAUAGGAUAGUAUUGGAUAGGAUAAGAUAAUUGAGUGUAGGCUGUUUAUUAUUUUGGGUAGAAAUUUUAGUUUAAGUAAUAUGUAAGUUAGUGCACAAAUGCCAAAAUAGUGUUUUCAACACAAUUUCGCCUUUGUGCAAAGUGGGUACUGUAGCAAGGAAAGUUUGCAGAGCUGAUUGACAGUCCUCAAACCAAGAUUCUACAGAACUGGCUGGGUCAGGAUUCUAAGACAGUUAGGGGGAACUAACAACAGGCUCCCUCUCAAGCUGGGAUUUAGACAGAGAGGCUUGUGUGUCAAAGAGUCUCCCUGAAGAAAUCAUCUUUGAAGCUGCCUGACUUGGAUUAUCUUCAAGAAAAGUUGAGUGUGUGUUCCUCUUUCACACUGGUGGACAGUUGUGAGCAGGGUGUGAACUUCUUCCCUUCCUGGAUCUUUUAUGAUCUCUCUCUUGCUUACUUCUGUGGAAUCUUGCUGUCUCUUCUCAUGGCAUUUGAUGGAGUAUUAGUCUCCGAUCUUGGGACUUUAAAAAACAUGGAAAAAAAACAUGGGAGAACAAACCACAGGAAGCUAGAAGUUGGUGCUGGAGCCACGUCUCCCAUUGAGUGCAGCAUUAAUACCCUGAGGAGCAAGUAGCAAUCUCUAGGAGUGAUAGUCAGGACCCUCUAUCAGCAAAAAGAUUCAUCUGGCAGUCCUGCCACACCUGGACAUAAAUGGAAGAACUGAGCUAAAAUUCAAGCCUUUCCCCCUAGAGAUGAGGGCAGUAUGGGGUAAAUAUGCCCCAGAAGGGUUGUGGGAAAUGUUUGUUCUUACUAUAACUUUGAAGUAAAUAUUCUUAUGUAAAAA